UACGAAGGGGGCUAGCGUUGUUCGGAAUCACUGGGCGUAAAGGGCGCGUAGGCGGCUUUAUAAGUCGGGGGUGAAAGCCUGUGGCUCAACCACAGAAUUGCCUUCGAUACUGUAUGGCUUGAGACCGGAAGAGGUAAGUGGAACUGCGAGUGUAGAGGUGAAAUUCGUAGAUAUUCGCAAGAACACCAGUGGCGAAGGCGGCUUACUGGUCCG
rnacentral:rRNA from 1 species